UGUGGACAUGACAACUGUAUUAUGAUGAGAUGUAAAAAUAUUCAGGAUGUUAUGUAAUGAGGUUAUUGAGGAUAGAGUGGUGCUUGACCAUAAUGUAUUGUUAAUCCCUUUUGUAUAUACAUGAUCUUAUGUUAUGAUGUUUAUGUAAACUAACUCAACACAGGUUGUUUUGCCUUUAAGGCUUGAUGAGAUCCCACAGAGGGACUAU
rnacentral:lncRNA from 1 species